GCGGGUUCCUCUUCAAUCGCUCUGUGCCUCUCGGUUGUGUCCGAGCUGUGCACGAGUUGAGAAAGGGGUUUGCAAAGAAAAGAUGUAUGCAAGUACUGCGCCAUGAGCAAGUAAAGGGGCUGUGGUACGCGGCCUGAGGAGGGUGGCGCACAAAAGCUUUGACGGAGAGCUUGCGGUGCAAAGGAAAUGAUUUUGAUGUGUAAGACAGCUCACAGAAAAAUAUGCAGCUAAAACACUGAAAGAGCAAGGGUGUUCUUUCUACAAGGUUGCGUGGCUGUACCUUAUCAGCACCCAUCUUGAGAACAGACAGCUAAACUCUUAGUAGGACACCUGACAGUGAGGGUGCAAUUUACCUCAUCUCCAGCUCACUGAUAAAGCCAUCACACAGAAUAGAUCCCAAGAUGGACCCCUGAGGAACCUGACUCAUAGUAGGAAAAACAUCUUCUUUAGAGGAAAAUGAUCACAGCACUGAAGGCAUAGUAGCUCUUGCUACAAUGAAAGCGUGUUUCUGAGGCAAAUGCAACACAGUUCUUCUCUGGUGAGGACAAUAUGACCUCUUGACAAGUAAAGUCUGUACAGUGAAUGGAGGCAGCUAACUUACUUUGGAAAGAUUAUCUUCACUGACUCAGGUAAGGACCAAGUGUUUCAGAAACUAUUUCUUCUAGGCAAUUUUAGGAUUUUAUGUGGUCUUUUGUUCACCCUGCUACUUUCUGUCCUCCUUUCCUAUGUUGUUGUUGUUUUUUUUUAACCCUGUGAGGGUGAGAGUCUCUGUCUGUCCAUGCUGGGAGUGCAAGGGGUCUAUUUAGUUUCCUUAGAUCUGUAUGAGAGUCCAGGAGUAUGGAAUGAGGAGCUUUUUUAGUUGAUCAAUUCUUUUUGCACAUGGCAUGAGAUGUGUUAAAUUCAAACAAGAAUAUGUGUGUGUGCCUAGCUUCACUGUGUAACACAGUACCAGCUCAGCAGAAGCUACUGCAACAUUUUGAUAAUAUAUUUUAGAUUGUUUUAACUAAAUAUAUUUUAAAUUAGAAAUGUUAGUAUAAUAAGCUCAUUAAGAAAUCUC